AUAUGUAAUCCAAUGAAUUAGUAAUAUAGUAUGAAAAAAUAGUGACCAACGAAUUUAUUUUGUAACUUGAGUGAUAGUAGAGGCACUCGCCAAGGCCUUUUUUUUUAAAGAAAAAAUGGCAGUGAGAACAAAAACCAAACACCUCUCGUGCGCCAAAACCAUCCGCCGCCUCCGGCAUCAGCCCCGCCACUGCCUCCGUAAAGAAGGUACUCAUUCUCUUCUCAAGGAAGAUCCGUUGGAAAUCCUGUCUAAUCUGUGGAUCAAAACUUUCUCUCAACCCCAAAAACCCUUCACUAACCUCACUGGCUUUCUCUCAAAACUCGAUCUCUGGAUCCUCGCUUACCAACGCACAUAUGCUCAUCUCACUGGUUCUUUCCCCCCUCGGAAUGCUAUCCAAUCCCAUGUUCUAUCCGACCUCUUAUCCCUCCGGAAUACAGUUAUCCGUGGAAAAUUCCUUUGGCAUACAAAAAUCCAUCAAUAUAUUCGUGGCCCUAAUGAAAAACCCAUUACUGAGCAGCUUUCCAGGAGUCAGCUCCAAUCUAUACUCACAUCCAAAACGCCGCCCUUUCAGGAUGUUGUGGUACAACAAGCUUUACUUAUGAUAUUUGAACCCAUUUUUGAGCCUAGGUUUUCAUCAAAGUCCCAUGCUUUUCGCCCUGGAAGGAAUCCCCAUACUGUUAUUAGGACCAUUAGAAGUAAUUUUGCUGGUUAUUUGUGGUUUCUGAAAGGUGAUAUUAGUGAGGUUUUUGAUAAUGUUGAUGUUGAUGUCGUUAUGGCUACUCUUGAAAAGGCUAUCAAGGAUAAGAAGGUGUUGAACUUAAUAAAGUCGGGGUUGAAAGCUCAUCGACGUGGAGAGGAGGGUGAAGAAGAAGAAGAAAAAGAUAGCAGGAAGAGAAAGAAGGGGCGGACAAAAAAGAGGAUUUUAAAUGAGAAUGAGCCCAAGCCAGAUCCUUAUUGGUUAAGGACAUUCUUUGAGUUUGCUCCGCAGGAGGCUUCUAAGAUACCCAAUUAUGGUGGUUGUGGAAUUCUAAGUCCUUUGUUGGCUAAUGUAUGUCUUAAUGAGCUUGAUCAUAUGAUGGAACAGAAAAUAGUUGAGUUUUUUAGGCCGUGUGAGCGAGACACGAUAUGGAAAUAUUCUAUGGAUGAUGGUUGUCAUAAUCCUGCUUGGCCUGAGUUUGUUCCUUCAAGUGGAAAAGAGAAGACGAGGAAGAUGGAUUUUAUAAGGUUUGGGGGUCAUUUCUUGGUUGGGAUUCGAGGGCCUAGACAAGAUGCCGUGGAAAUGAGGAAAGAGAUAAUUGAAUUUUGUGAGAGAAUUUUUGGGGUCAGGUUGGACAAUUCAAAAAUAGAGAUUGAGCAUAUUUCUAGGGGAAUUCAGUUCCUGGAUCAUAUUAUUUGUCGUCGUGUUAUUUAUCCAACUCUACGUUACACAGCCAGUGGUGGUAAUAUAGUGAGUGAGAAAGGUGUAGGUACUUUGCUUUCAGUCUCUGCUAGCUUGCAACAAUGUAUCCACCAGUUUCGAAAGCUCAAGCUUGUGAAAGGUGAUAGGGAUCCUGAGCCACUGCCUUGCACACCUAUGCUUUACUCUGGUCAAGCUCACACUAAUUCUCAAAUGAACAAAUUCCUUGAGACAAUGGCUGAUUGGUUCAGAUAUGCAGAUAAUCGGAGAAAAGUUGUUGGCUUUUGUGCAUAUGUGGUUCGUAGCUCUCUGGCUAAGUUAUAUGCUGCCAGGUAUAGGCUGAAAUCUCGUGCCAAGGUUUAUAAGAUUGCCUCGCGUGAUUUAAGCUGUCCAUUGAGGGAGCACACCAACAAUUCUGCACCUGAGUAUUCAGAUCUUUUGAGGAUGGGACUUGUUGAUGCUAUUGAAGGUGUUCGGUUUUCCCACAUGUCCUCAAUCCCGUCAUGUGAUUACACUCCAUUUCCAAGGAAUUGGAUCCCUGAUCAUGAGAAGGUGUUGCAUGAGUAUAUCAACUUACAGGACCCCAAGUUUUUCUACCAGCUGCACAAGUCAGUUAAACAGCAUGGUAUGUGUUUUCCUCAAGAUGAGAUAUCUCAUAUUGUGUGGCAGUAUAAGACUCUUGGGGUGCGAAACUUGUCGCAGAGGUUACGUGAUGACAAGGGGAUGGAAAAUGCUUAUGAGAAAGUAAUGGUGGCAUCAUCAUGAACGUGGCAUGAAAUGUGAAAGUUUAUCAACAUAUAUUGCUAUUGAUGGUGCCAACUGACUUCUUAUUUUUCUGAAGCUAGAUGAUCAAUGUCUAUCUUGAUGGAUGAUAUUAAAGUUGGAAGUUGAUCUUAUUUAACAAUCCUGGUGAGCAGAUUAAGCUCGAUUACAGUGAACAGAUUCCCUUAUAAAGCUUUUUCAGUAGAGAACUAAAGAUUAAAUUUGUCAAUACAGAUUUAUGAGACCAUUUUUAGUACGUCUUUUUGUAAAAUUCUCUUCUUAUGGUUGAGACCUGUGAGGAAUAACUGCUCCAAUAAGCAUCUAUAAUUUGGAUGAGUUUCUGAAAGGAAUAAAUUAUUGACACCAACAUAUGUGCUUUUAGCUUUAGACUAAAACACUCGCCAUCUCCACGCCCCCUACCGCAAGAAUAAUAGCUUUUUUUAAUUGCAUAUAUAAGUUGGAUGAGUUCCAUCAGAAACUUACAUUCUUAACACUUCAGAGAUCUUUUAGCUUCUUCCUUAAACCCUAGCCUGCACAUAUAUUCCCCCAUGGAAACUGUGUGAUCUGCUGCAGCAAUGGGAUGAAGUCAUGUCACUCCAAAGCUGAACUGAAGUUAUGGCUAUGACGUGAUAGCUCAUAAGUUCUGCUGAAAUAAAUGUAGCCAACAAAAUAAAAGUUGCAUUCCUGGUAUUUUGCUGCAGAAGAAAAGAUGUUCAUCUUCAGCUCCAUAUACCCAUAUAUAGUAAACAGAGAGCUUGAGGACUGCCUGCAUAUUUUCUGAAGACGAAUGAAUAGUAAGCUGUGUGAAUGCUUCCACAAACAAUGGCUCCUCGCUCUUACUUGGGCAUUUUUCAGUUGGAUCGAGACUACACUAGUGGAACGUGAGAAGAGGCUGUUCGGUGAUGCAAGUCAUUGAAGCUGCUGAUUGCCUGGGAAAAGACCUGCCUGAGAAGAGAGAUAUAAUACUCGACUGGAUAGAUGACCCAAAUACAUUUUUAUGAUAAAUAUACGGUGCAUUUUAUCCGACAUGGGACCAGUAAUAACAAUAUCAGCGCAGUAUAACAUUUUGCAAUGUUCAAAUUUGUUGAUUGAGUCAUUAUUCAUCACAUCUGCCUAUUCUAUCUUAAAUUUAUCAAAACCCAUCUGUCAGAUACACACUUUCACAAAUGAUGUUGCGGAUUUGUGAAGUAUUGGGGUGAAGUGAUUAGUAAGGACAUGGCGCAGUCUUGGCUCACCGAGGAUAUGACCUUGACAGGAGGGUGUGGAGGUCGAGGAUUAGGAUAGAAGGUUAGUA